CAGUGUGGUGUGUGCGUUCGUCCGCGACGGAACGAGAAGAUGCAGAAGAUGCAGCCGGCCCUUCGUUUCGCUUACGAGAGAGACUCCACUUUGAUCUGCGGGCGAACGGACGAACUGAAAGGUGGCAACUCUAGUCCCAAUCGACGCGAUGCAUCGCGAUGGAAUAAUUAAACCCCGACGACCCCUACGAGACCAGGUCUAGCUCGAGAUGACCGCGAGUGCUACGGGGGUCAUUUCAAUAAUGCUACGCUGAGCGAUAAUAACAAAUCGCGCGUCUUAUCGUGGAUGGACGGCGAACAAUUGCGCCGGUCGGCCACACUGUCGGAAAGAGAUCGGGUCGUCUAAGCGGUUUUACGACUGCGUCGACCUGACCGCCGGGUCGUUUUAAUAAGGGCGAUGAUGCGCGCGUCAAUCGCCGCGAAUUUUUAUGCCUCGCCACGUUCGCCGCAGUCUUCAUCCUUCUGAGAAACGCGACAUGCUGCUGGCGCUCACAUUGUUGCGUUCCAACGGUGACACACGGGGUGAUAGGUCUUUUCUAUUUAUUCGUAUCAUCUGCCAUCCUUGCUACUUUUUUUAUUUCUCCGUUGACGUUCCUUCGAGUACAGUACAUCUAUCGCGUCUUCUGAUCGCAGGGAAUGUUAAAAUAACCGCAUAAAGGGAAGGAAUCUUAUUUGUUUGUUUUCGUCUCUUCGGGAAUCAAAGUCGCCGACGGGAAUGAACAAGAUGUUUUUUUUACGCACGCGACUGUGCAGAUUCUGAUUGAUAACGCAUUACGGCGUUAUCGUGCAAUACGUAAAUCGCGAAGCAGUUGUUUGUCACGACGAAGAUGUUAGGCAGUGAAGUUCAUCAAAGUGGAGACGCACUUGCGCGAGGCUUUCUAUUUGUUUUCAGCGCGCAAACUUCGUUCGACUAAUCCGAGCGACAUUAAUAUUCCGUAACAAUGUCUGUCUCCAUUUCGAAAGUUGUUUAUUCUAGAAUGCCGGCGUGGAACUUCUUGCAGCUAUUCCUACACGCAGGCUCUCUCUUGGUCUACCUGCUCACAAGAAACGGCUCCAUACUUAUGAGCAGGCUGCAUGUUUAAUUAAUAUUGUCGAGUGUAUAUCAUGUACCAGAUUAUUUGCCGCGCGUUAUGCAGGGGUCAUUAUUAUAUACACGGUACUAUAAGCGAAGUUCUUCUAUUUCAAACGCGUCGAUCGAUUUACACCGGCUACUCAAUUAUUUCAUACGUCUCUCUUCCGCCGGAGAACUACCUCAAAAUGAAAAAUUGACAAGAUCGAUCGCGAAUUGUCUCGAAACUAUUAAAAGCGACAUCUACAAAGUAAUUCCCCCUUAAAAGUGGAAAUGGGUCAAAUAAAUUCGAUUUGGCAAUAGCUGGUUUAAUAUAAGGGAUUCGAUAUUAGAAGAACGAGUUUCAACCGUGGAGAUGAAUCAAGUAUUUUUCCGCAUUUUCCACGACAACAAUCUUACACGCGAAAGGUAAA